CAUGAAUAACCUAAACAUGCUUCUCCUUCCUUUAACCCUUCAGAAAACAUAUAAACAGGGUCUAAAACUGCCCUUACCUCUGGAAACAGGAAGAGACACACACUGAACAAAGGAAAAAUAGAUCAACCUCUCUUCAAACUCUCAAAAUCUCACAAGCGUAACUUUUGUUUCUCUCAACUCUCAAUACCUUUGCAAGCACCUCAAACUGCUGUGAGAACAACCAAAAACAUGUACAGAUGAGUCAUAAGAGACGUGGUCAUUCCAUGGCAAGAAUCUGAGGCCAACACUUGUCAAAACAAACAUGACUCAGCUCACUAGCCAACUCAGCUUCGGCUGCNNN
rnacentral:lncRNA from 1 species